UAAGCACGAAACUCUUAUCAUGCAGAAAGGAUGGGACAUAGGAAGGGGGACGGGAGAAGGGGGUGGUUCAGGGAAGACUGUGCCAAAGACACGGUAAUAAUCAAGAGAACAGGGAGUAGACGCCCAAGGGUCCUCGUUCUAUAUAGAACCUUGAUGAAAAUGAUGUUUCAAAGAGAAAUCAAAUACACUGGGGGAAGGGGGUGGAUCCAGUGGUGCGCCGGGAAUGAACUGACCCAAGUGAGCUGGGACAUGUGCAUACAGAGAGCAGAGGCAGAAGUCAAGGAACUGGAGGCUGAGGAACCCAGCGGACCACGAAAGCAGGGAGAUAACUAGACAGCAUGCUCGGCUGGAAGGACCAAAGUCAGAGAAGGAAAAAUGAAUAAGAAAAUGAGCAGUCAGAGGCAGCUAGGGUGACGGACAGACAGCAUGAAGCGCAGCAGAAUGAAUAGCCAGAAGACUCGGACAGGCAGAGCCGAAGGACCGCAGAGCUCAGCGCCGGAGACAUGAAAACUGAGGCCCAGACCAGCUAAGCAUUUUGAUCACGGUCACCCAGAGCCACAGUGGAGAUCAGGAGAAAACUGAUUCCCAGGCCAGUGCUCUUUUGCUUCUACUCGGUCAGAGGUGUGGGGUCCUUCGAGACAGUGGUUGGCUGCAGGCUCCUGGACAGAUCCGCACCUUCAUAGCUGUGUGAAGGAGAUUUCCCACGUUGGCAUAGCAGCCACUGGGGAGCUGGUUUCCUGCCAUCCACUUGAGAGCAUCCUGGAUGUUCUUGGGAUCAAUGAAGAUGAAUUUCUGAGCUUGGCCAAAGCAUUUUGUGACAAACGCUGUCAGCCUACAUGGGUAAAGAGGAAAAUAUGGCAUGAAGAGGAAUUUCCAGGAAACCCACUGCCCGAGACCUGAUCUCCUCCGUCAGCAGCCCUGCCUUCUCCAGGUACUGCAAGACAUAGAUGAUGGGAGCAAACAAGACCAUGUUCUGCUCGCCACAGCCACUGGGCAUCUGCACCAGACCAUCCAGGUUCUGCAGGGCUGUGCCCAUAAUGUCUCCUGGGAUCCAAAAGGAGAGAGAGAAGGUAAUUGAAGAUGGUGGCAGUAAGACGAAAGGAUUCCCCACGGACUACUGAGUAAGGGAGAGUCAGGUCAACAAAGAACGGCUUGAAAGCAGUUAGUCCAACAGUGGGUGAAAGCCCGAAGCCUCUUGACUGGGAAGUGCAGAAACUCAUCGCCUUCCACUCGGUGAUGGCGUCAGGAACUGUGACGUGGACCGCCUCCUUCCCCGAGUUACUGUGAAAACACAAGGACCAACAUGAGGCAGAGGUAGCGUGGGGCAAGGAGAACAUUUGUGAAUUAAGCCACAAAUUCGGUGGGGUGUGCUGGCUUACACUUGUAAUCCCAGCUCUUUGAGAGGCUGAGGUGAGCAGAUAGCUUCAGCCCAGCAGUUUGAGGCCAGCCUGGGAAACAUAGCAAGACCCUAUUUCUACCAAAAAUUUAAAAAUUAGCC
rnacentral:lncRNA from 10 species